rnacentral:rRNA from 1 species
UACGUAGGGUGCGAGCGUUGUCCGGAAUUAUUGGGCGUAAAGAGCUCGUAGGCGGUGUGUCACGUCGGCCGUGAAAACCUGCAGCUUAACUGUGGGCGUGCGGUCGAUACGGGCAUCACUGGAGUUCGGCAGGGGAGACUGGAAUUCCUGGUGUAGCGGUGAAAUGCGCAGAUAUCAGGAGGAACACCGAUGGCGAAGGCAGGUCUCUGGGCAUUAACUGACGCUGGAGGAGCGAAAGCCAUGGGGAGCGAACAGG